UGUUUUUUUAUUUUUGUAAGAUUGAUUUUUGAUCAUACUGAAAUUCUGUUUCAUUAAUGGAAGAUGAAUGCAAUGUCCAUUUUGUGAUUUUUCAAAUACUUGUUACAAUGAGAGAUCUGAUGCUUACAUGCAUCAGUAACAGAAAACAAUGUGGAUGUAUACUUUGAAACUAAACAAUACAAAAAGGAACUCAAAGCAGCCGAUGCCAGUUUGAAAAAAAUUCUAGAUCAUGGAGAACCUUUAUCAAUGAAGGGUUUGACAUUAAAUUGCAUGGAUCGUAAAUCUAAAGCAUAUGAAGUGGUUUGCCAAGGAUUGAAGAGCAUCAAAAGCUAUUGAAAUUCUGGAAGCAUAUGAAGGGGCAUUAAAGAUUAUCCUCCAGAAAGUGAACGGAUUGAGCAUGGAGAAAUGCUUUUAUAUAUAAGGUUGUUGCAUGGAGUUUUGUUCCUGGUAAGCAACUGGAGCAAAAGAAAAGAAAGAAGAUUGUCAAUCCUACUACACUCGUUGUACCUCUUGCCAAACAUUUAAGGAGAUAAAGGGAUAUAUAUUGUUUACCCGUUUUUGAAAUAUUUUAGUUUAUAUGAUCAUGUACAAUGUGUGUAUAUAUUAUACUCAUAUUUUCUAUAAAGUAAAGCCUUUGGUUUAUACAUUAUAAUUAAAAUUUUAA